GAUGAACGCUGGCGGCGUGCCUAAUACAUGCAAGUCGAGCGAAGCGGGGACGGGUGAGUAACACGUGGAUGACCUCCUAUAAGACUGGGGUAACUUCGGGAAACCGGAGCUAAACCGGAUACUUAGAGAUGGAUGCUGGCUGCAUUAGCUAGUUGGUAAGGUAACGGCUUACCAAGGCAACGAUGCAUAGCCGACCUGAGAGGGUGAUCGGCCACACUGGAACUGAGACACGGUCCAGACUCCUACGGGAGGCAGCAGUGGGGAAUCUUGCGCAAUGGGCGAAAGCCUGACGGAGCCAUGCCGCGUGAGUGAUGAAGGUCUUCGGAUCGUAAAGCUCUGUUAUUAGGGAAGCGGUACCUACUGAGAAAGCAACGGCUAACUACGUGCCAGCAGCCGCGGUAAUAC
rnacentral:rRNA from 1 species